ensembl:snRNA U6 U6 spliceosomal RNA
GUGCUCACUUCUGCAACAUAUAUCCUUAAAUUGAAGCAAUACAGGAAAGAUAAGCAUGGUCCCAGGGCAGGGCUGCCAGGCAAAUUGGUGAAACAUUCCAUAUUUUC